AUACUCUGGUUUCUCUUCAGAUCGUAUAAAUCUUUCGCCUUUUACUAAAGAUUUCCGUGGAGAGAAACAAGUCUGAGUUUUUAGACAAUUUUUUGAGGCUUUGCUUUGGCAAAGCU
rnacentral:snRNA from 1 species